rnacentral:rRNA from 1 species
CAGGCCUAACACAUGCAAGUCGAACGAUGCUUUCGGGCAUAGUGGCGCACGGGUGCGUAACGCGUGGGAAUCUGCCCCUUGGUUCGGAAUAACAGCUAGAAAUGGCUGCUAAUACCGGAUGACGACGUAAGUCCAAAGAUUUAUCGCCGAGGGAUGAGCCCGCGUAGGAUUAGCUGGUUGGUGUGGUAAAGGCGCACCAAGGCGACGAUCCUUAGCUGGUCUGAGAGGAUGAUCAGCCACACUGGGACUGAGACACGGCCCAGACUCCUACGGGAGGCAGCAGUGGGGAAUAUUGGACAAUGGGCGCAAGCCUGAUCCAGCAAUGCCGCGUGAGUGAUGAAGGCCUUAGGGUUGUAAAGCUCUUUUACCCGGGAUGAUAAUGACAGUACCGGGAGAAUAAGCCCCGGCUAACUCCGUGCCAGCAGCCGCGGUAAU